rnacentral:rRNA from 1 species
UUAUGGCUCAGGACGAACGCUGGCGGCAUGCUUCAUACAUGCAAGUCGAACGAUAAGGUCUCUUCGGAGAUACAUAAGUGGCGGACGGGUGAGUAAUAUGUAGGAAAUCUGCCCUAGAGAGGGGGACAACAGAGGGAAACUUCUGCUAAUACCCCAUAUGAGCGUACCUGAAAUGGUAUUCUUGAAAACUCCGGUGCUCUAGGAUGAGCCUGCAUCUGAUUAGCUUGUUGGCGGUGUAAUGGACCACCAAGGCGACGAUCAGUAGCUGGUUUGAGAGGAUGAUCAGCCACAAUGGGACUGAGACACGGCCCAUACUCCUACGGGAGGCAGCAGUAGGGAAUUUUGCGCAAUGGGCGAAAGCCUGAACCGCAGCAAUGCCGCGUGAACGUAGAAGCCCUUCGGGGUGUAAAGUUCUGUCAGUGGGGACGAAUUUUGACGGUACCCACAGAGGAAGCACCGGCUAACUCCGUGCCAGCAGCAGC